rnacentral:rRNA from 1 species
CACGUAGUUAGCCGGUGCUUCUUUACCCAUUACCGUCACUCACGCUUCGUCACAGGCGAAAGCGGUUUACAACCCGAAGGCCGUCAUCCCGCACGCGGCGUUGCUGCAUCAGGCUUCCGCCCAUUGUGCAAUAUUCCCCACUGCUGCCUCCCGUAGGAGUCUGGGCCAUAUCUCAGUCCCAAUGUGGCCGGUCACCCUCUCAGGCCGGCUACCCGUCAAAGCCUUGGUAAGCCACUACCCCACCAACAAGCUGAUAAGCCGCGAGUCCAUCCCCAACCGCCGAAACUUUCCAACCCCCACCAUGCAGCAGGAGCUCCUAUCCGGUAUUAGCCCCAGUUUCCUGAAGUUAUCCCAAAGUCAAGGGCAGGUUACCCACGUGUUACUCACCCGUUGCCACUCGAGCACCCACAAAAGCAGGGCCUUUCCGUCGACUUGCAUGUGUUAAGCACGCCGCCAGCGUUCUCCUGUAGCCAGGAGUCAAACUCU